rnacentral:antisense_RNA from 1 species
AGUGUCACCGGGGGACCAUCCCUCCAGCCGCCCAGCCCAUGUGGGCUCCGGUGGGGUACGCUCCAGCCAGGGCAGGGUGGCCGUGCAGCCCUCCGGAGUCCCCGGGCAGCCCCAAGCGGCCAGUGUUGGCCCUGGAGGAACAGCCCAGAGGAGCCCCCAUGGCUCCAGCCCGGGGACCCUUCCCAGCCUCUGCAGAGGGACGGGGAACCCGGCUAUGAGAGAGGGCGCAGGGCCUUUCUUCAACCUAAAAAAGCGAGCCAUAAGUCAAGGCCAGAAAAAGGCUGCCUUUGCUGUUGACAAAAGAGGCCCCGGCCCGGACUUGGCAGCGCCACCCGCCCGGCAGCCGCAGGCUCCGUGGAAGGAAGGUCCUGCCCCGUGUCUCCGCCCCAUCUCCCGGGCCUGGGCGCUCAGACCAGGUUGUACUCCUUGAGGUUGAGCUGCAGAAUGGUGUCCUUCACAGCCGCGAACACG